AGAUAAAUGAGAAUGAGUCACACUGGUGAUUCUGUCACCAGAAGGGUGGCCUCAGAGGAGGAGUUACCUGCAUCCAGGGCCCAGAGAACAGCAUCCAUCAGAGUGACUCCAGGCAGAGAACUUGACAUAGGGAGGCUGGAAAAUGAGCCCAAGCUCUAAUCUCCACUAUCAGGCAAGGCUGGAACUGGACAGCAGUAUUACCAGAGCCUCAGCGGGAUUGCAUCUCUGCUUCACCUCCUCUUCUGUGGCCGGAGGAUGGGCCGCCCAGCAUCCGGAGCUGCCUGUAAAGUUCCUCUCAGCGCCUGCAGAAGCUUUGUAGAGGUGCAGCUGACUGUGAUCAGGGGCUUUAUUUGUCUGUGGAAUCUGGGAGCCAGUGGGAGCCAGUGUGAGAAAGGCGAGGUGUACAAGCCUGCCGUCGGAAGUGUUCCAAUCCAAGUUUCUGGAAUUUCAAGCUGCAUGGCAUUAGCUCUAAAAUCCCUCAUGUGUCAAGAGAGAUUUCACACCGGAACUUGAAACUAGGAAAAGACUGGCAGCUUCUUUUCCCUUGAACUGAUUCGUGGGAGACGACUUGAGCGAAACCCAAAAAACCCAUGUUCAGACCUGAUGCUAAGGGGCUGAAUGACGCUGGACAGAACAUAAUACCUUGGGUCCUCAAUUUUGUGAUGAUGGUUAAAUGAGUGAUUCUCAAACCAGUUCUGACAUCUUGAAAAGGUGCUUCUGACUUCACAGUUACCAUGUAAUUAGAGCUUUGAAAUGACAGUGCAGUGAACUCUCCUUGAUAUUCCCCUAAGCCUCUACAUUGAAUGGUGAUGAGGAUCCUAUUUGGAAGCUUUCAAUGGUGUCUUCUCCAGGGGAAAAGGUGAAGAAUAUUUUGUAAGCGACACUGUCUUUUCAAUUUUUACCUCCUGAUUUUGAGCACGGCGAUUCUACUAAGCUGUGUUUUCUUUUCCCUGUGAAAAUGGUUUUGUGAGAAAAUGUAACCAGUGCAAUUAUACUGAACUUUCAUAAGAUGAAACGUUAAUAAAAUGAAUGUUUGACCAAUAAAAUACUUGAUGCU
rnacentral:lncRNA from 1 species